CAACAAUAGUGAAAAGUCCUGCACUAAUCUUACCAAUUCGAUCACCAAAGUUAAGUAAACCAACUGACAAACCACCCAAAACUACUGCAAAGCUCAACCAAGAAAGGAAAGUACGUUCAUUAGCGAAAAAAACUUUAGGUUCAACACGAACAGGAAGAGCAAUUCUUUUACCAGGAGUAGUUUGUAAAAGAGGUUGAGUAGACAUUGUUAGUGGAAAGAGUGAGCUAUAAAUCGAAGGUUUUUUCUCCUCGCGAGAUUAAGUAUGUGCUGGCUGUGAGUUGUGGUUAAGGUCAGCUGUGUCGAACGGCCUA